UGGGACCUUCUCCACAAUCCAAAGACAUGUCACUUAAGGAGACCAGCCAAGGACAGUUUGAAUGGACGUUAAGGCCUUGAGGGGACGCCACGUGGAUCCAUCGCCAAUAAGUCUGAAUCCAGCAUCCUGCAUUGCCUAAAUUUUAUUUGAAUUCCACCCACCCAAGAGACCAACACUGGGAUACUUGAUCCAGGAGCAGGACUGAAAUCAAACAGCUUGGUUCAAUGAAAGACCCCCCGGACAGCCGCAGUGGAAGUCCAUCACUGGGUCACAGCCUCAAUCCGUCACUGUCUGCUGCUGCUAUCAAGAGCAGGUCCAAGGAGAAGACGGGAGUGACUCAGGACUGCAGCGCUCCACUCCACUCUUUAGGUCAGACACUUGAUAAAUGUUGUAUUUUUCAUAUUUUCCUUGCCGAGCGGCCUCAUUAAAUCCAUACAAAGAUGUAGUUUCGAAGAUGAGUUGCUCUGAGACAAUCUGAAAUGAACCGCAGCUCAAUUUUAAGCAGAACUCCUUAAUAUAUUUAUAAUAUGAAUAUUGAUGUUAUUUCUCCUGCAAAUAUAGUGGCCCGUGCUUCCCGGGAGGCAGGUACGAAGAGAAUGAAUCUUCAAUCUGACUGCAAUCAAACAGCUUAGUUCACUAAAAGAUCUCUCCCUCCCACCUGCACCGACUGCAGUGCAGGUCCAGGUUAUAACCUCAAUCCCUCACUCUGAGGUUGGAGAUAGACUGUAUUCACUUUCCAUUCAGCCAGCGCUUAUGUGCUCUGAAUUCAAACUCAAAUUGCCUACCAGAAACCUUGAGGUAUUUGAGUUAAUCCAGACUGAAUAUACACCUUAAAGAU